UCACUAGUAGCUUUGUGUCAUUGCUGUUUUGCCGAGUUAUUUUAGACGAAAUAUUAUUAAUUUUUAUACGCUCGUUACUUGUUUUAUUAUUUAAAAUGAACAAAACGAUAAUGGUAAAGCAAUCAUGUACCAAGUUUUUUGUGAUUUUUGGCUGAAUCCCAAGCGGGACAAUUCAAUUCAAUUUUUAGAUUUUGCCAAAGUCAAAGUUGAAAGCAGGAAAAUCUAUGACUGUUGAGCGGUAAAUAAAGCAAUGGCAUUACAAAAUAAUCGACAAACACUCCAAGCGGGACAAAAUUUAUCUCAAAUUAACAAUGUUUAUCAGAGAACUGCCAGCAUGAUAAGUAUUUAUCCCAGUUAUUUACAACUUAAAAGUUGAAUUAUACGUUUUACAAUGGUUGUUAUUAUAGGUAAAUCAAUCAAUACUAUAAGAAAAAUUGUUGAAGGUGAAAAAAAUAAUGGCGUUUUUUCUACACCUGUUAAACAUCAGAAAGGGCGACCAAAGAAAGAUCUUGAUGAUAUGAAGCACCUACCAGCGCAACAAAAGUUUCUGAUGUAAAGCUGUGGUUGCUACCUUUGAUGAAACUAUGCAGAAACCUGAAUUGUUGAUGCUAGUAAAACGCCACAAGCCAGAGGUCAUUUAUGAAAUAGACCAACUUUUGGGAGAUUAUGGUCACAUUGUGAUGGCAGCUGAACAAGCUAUUACUUAUUCCAAGCUAUUACUGCUAAAGAUUGACAGAAUUCAUGCCAACAUAUUAUUAAAAUUGAGAAAGAAUAUUAUGAAAGGGGUUUGACCAUCUAUCAUGAUACUAAGAAUUACUUUUUUACCUCAGAGAAAAUAGCAGCAGCGAAACUACUUCAGAGUCAAAUGAUUCUGUUGUUGUUGCAUUCUAGCCAAGACACAAUACACUUUUUGGGGGUAGAAUAUCUAAAUGAAAGUCUUAUGGAAUCAGACUAAUAUAAAUAGUUAUUUAGUAUUUUUUUAAUAA